rnacentral:rRNA from 1 species
AAAUUGAAGAGUUUGAUCAUGGCUCAGAUUGAACGCUGGCGGCAGGCCUAACACAUGCAAGUCGAACGGUAACAGGAAGAAGCUUGCUUCUUUGCUGACGAGUGGCGGACGGGUGAGUAAUGUCUGGGAAACUGCCUGAUGGAGGGGGAUAACUACUGGAAACGGUAGCUAAUACCGCAUAACGUCGCAAGACCAAAGAGGGGGACCUUCGGGCCUCUUGCCAUCGGAUGUGCCCAGAUGGGAUUAGCUAGUAGGUGGGGUAACGGCUCACCUAGGCGACGAUCCCUAGCUGGUCUGAGAGGAUGACCAGCCACACUGGAACUGAGACACGGUCCAGACUCCUACGGGAGGCAGCAGUGGGGAAUAUUGCACAAUGGGCGCAAGCCUGAUGCAGCCAUGCCGCGUGUAUGAAGAAGGCCUUCGGGUUGUAAAGUACUUU